AGAGUUUGAUCAUGGCUCAGAUUGAACGCUGGCGGCAGGCCUAACACAUGCAAGUCGAACGGUAACAGGAAGCAGCUUGCUGCUUUGCUGACGAGUGGCGGACGGGUGAGUAAUGUCUGGGAAACUGCCUGAUGGAGGGGGAUAACUACUGGAAACGGUGGCUAAUACCGCAUAACGUCGCAAGACCAAAGAGGGGGACCUUCGGGCCUCUUGCCAUCAGAUGUGCCCAGAUGGGAUUAGCUGGUAGGUGGGGUAACGGCUCACCUAGGCGACGAUCCCUAGCUGGUCUGAGAGGAUGACCAGCCACACUGGAACUGAGACACGGUCCAGACUCCUACGGGAGGCAGCAGUGGGGGAAUAUUGCACAAUGGGCGCAAGCCUGAUGCAGCCAUGCCGCGUGUAUGAAGAAGGCCUUCGGGUUGUAAAGUACUUUCAGCGGGGAGGAAGGUGUUGUGGUUAAUAACCGCAGCAAUUGACGUUACCCGCAGAAGAAGCACCGGCUAACUCCGUGCCAGCAGCCGCGGUAAUACGGAGGGUGCAAGCGUUAAUCGGAAUUACUGGGCGUAAAGCGCACGCAGGCGGUCUGUCAAGUCGGAUGUGAAAUCCCCGGGCUCAACCUGGGAACUGCAUUCGAAACUGGCAGGCUUGAGUCUUGUAGAGGGGGGUAGAAUUCCAGGUGUAGCGGUGAAAUGCGUAGAGAUCUGGAGGAAUACCGGUGGCGAAGGCGGCCCCCUGGACAAAGACUGACGCUCAGGUGCGAAAGCGUGGGGAGCAAACAGGAUUAGAUACCCUGGUAGUCCACGCCGUAAACGAUGUCUACUUGGAGGCUGUGCCCUUGAGGCGUGGCUUCCGGAGCUAACGCGUUAAGUAGACCGCCUGGGGAGUACGGCCGCAAGGUUAAAACUCAAAUGAAUUGACGGGGGCCCGCACAAGCGGUGGAGCAUGUGGUUUAAUUCGAUGCAACGCGAAGAACCUUACCUGGUCUUGACAUCCACGGAAGGUCUCAGAGAUGAGACUGUGCCUUCGGGAGCCGUGAGACAGGUGCUGCAUGGCUGUCGUCAGCUCGUGUUGUGAAAUGUUGGGUUAAGUCCCGCAACGAGCGCAACCCUUAUCCUUUGUUGCCAGCGGUCCGGCCGGGAACUCAAAGGAGACUGCCAGUGAUAAACUGGAGGAAGGUGGGGAUGACGUCAAGUCAUCAUGGCCCUUACGACCAGGGCUACACACGUGCUACAAUGGCGCAUACAAAGAGAAGCGACCUCGCGAGAGCAAGCGGACCUCAUAAAGUGCGUCGUAGUCCGGAUUGGAGUCUGCAACUCGACUCCAUGAAGUCGGAAUCGCUAGUAAUCGUGGAUCAGAAUGCCACGGUGAAUACGUUCCCGGGCCUUGUACACACCGCCCGUCACACCAUGGGAGUGGGUUGCAAAAGAAGUAGGUAGCUUAACCUUCGGGAGGGCGCUUACCACUUUGUGAUUCAUGACUGGGGUGAAGUCGUAACAAGGUAACCGUAGGGGAACCUGCGGUUGGAUCACCU
rnacentral:rRNA from 1 species